AUGCAGCAGCCCUUGAACUCAUCGGAUAUGAAUAUCCUAGACCUUGUCCUAUUCUCUUCACUACAUUCCAUGUCUGAUAAGCUGGUGUCUAACAAUUUAGAUGAGCUAAUCAACAAUGUGCAGCAUUAAUAUGAUGCCGAUAAGAUAAACAAAAUUUUUCUAACACUACAAAGCUGCUUAACUGAGGUCAUGAAGAGAGGUGGAGGCAACGACUACAAGAUCCCUCACGUACAAGGACUAGAACAAGCAGGAAAUCUUCCUAAUGUUUUAGACUAUGAUCGUGAACUAUAUGAGAGCGUCAUGCACGCCUUAGCCGAUUAG
rnacentral:rRNA from 1 species